CUAAGCAUGGGCUGAAGAGUUCUUACUCUCAUAGGAGACCUCCCAGUGCCAAGUGUAUAAGUGUGUCUGGAAUUGGUGGGUUCUUGGUCUCACUGACUUCAAGAAUGAAGCUGCAGACCCUCCUGUUAGGAGCCUUUUGACUCUUUCACAGCUAGCAUGAAGGCACAGGGAGGGAAAUCUCAAAAACCAACAACCUGUGUAUUCCCAGCCUAUUAAUCAAUAGAAAAUCACUUCAACUGGAUUAGGGUCUUGUACCUGGAAGAAAGGCUGUUAUGGACAUUGGAAUUGGAUUUUUACACUUGAUAUGACACCUCCUUGAGUCAGAUCAGAUUCGUGUUUGAUAGACUCUUGCCGAAAAAUUGCUCCAGGGUCUGUGCGGUAGCUAAAGCCUUUUUGUUGUUGUUGUUGUUUUAAAAGCAGCAUUAAAUGUUUUCAUG
rnacentral:lncRNA from 10 species